AAGGCGAGGCCGAAAGGCGUAGUCGAUGGGAAACAGGUUAAUAUUCCUGUACUUGGUGUUACUGCGAAGGGGGGACGGAGAAGGCUAUGUUGGCCGGGCGACGGUUGUCCCGGUUUAAGCGUGUAGGUUGGUUUUCCAGGCAAAUCCGGAAAAUCAAGGCUGAGGCGUGAUGACGAGGCACUACGGUGCUGAAGCAACAAAUGCCCUGCUUCCAGGAAAAGCCUCUAAGCAUCAGGUAACAUCAAAUCGUACC
rnacentral:rRNA from 1 species